rnacentral:rRNA from 1 species
AGAUGAGUCUGCGUCUGAUUAGCUAGAUGGUGGGGUAACGGCUUACCAUGGCGACGAUCAGUAGUCGGCCUGAGAGGGUGACCGGCCACAUUGGGACUGAGACACGGCCCAAACUCCUACGGGAGGCAGCAGUGGGGAAUCUUCCGCAAUGGGCGAAAGCCUGACGGAGCAACGCCGCGUGAUCGAAGAAGGCCUUCGGGUUGUAAAGAUCUGUUGACAGGGACGAAUAAGCAAUGCGAAUAGUUUUGUGUAUGACGGUACCUGUUUAGAAAGCUCCGGCUAACUACGUGCCAGCAGCCGCGGUAAUACGUAGGGAGCAAGCGUUGUCCGGAAUUACUGGGCGUAAAGGGCGCGUAGGUGGGCGCUUAAGUCAGGUGUGAAAACUCCGGGCUCAACCUGGAGACUGCACUUGAAACUGGGUGUCUUGAGGGCAGGAGAGGAAAGUGGAAUUCCUAGUGUAGCGGUGAAAUGCGUAGAUAUUAGGAGGAACACCAGUGGCGAAGGCGACUUUCUGGACUGUACCUGACGCUGAGGCGCGAAAGCGUGGGUAGCGAACGGGAUUAGAUACCCCGGUAGUCCACGCCGUAAACGAUGAAUACUAGGUGUAGGAGGUAUCGACUCCUUCU